rnacentral:rRNA from 1 species
GACAGAGGGGGCAAGCGUUGCUCGGAAUUACUGGGCGUAAAGGGCGCGUAGGCGGGAUGGCAAGUCGGUCGUGAAAUCCCUCGGCUCAACCGAGGAACGUCGAUCGAUUCUGCUGUUCUUGAGGAUUGCAGAGGAGACUGGAAUUUCCGGUGUAGCGGUGAAAUGUGUAGAGAUCGGGAGGAACACCGGUGGCGAAGGCGGGUCUCUGGGCAAUUCCUGACGCUGAGGCGCGAAAGCGUGGGGAGCAAACGGG